rnacentral:lncRNA from 1 species
AAUAAUGGUUUCGGAAACCCAUAUAAUGUCCAAACAUUGAAUCACCAUUUAGUUGUAGCUAGCAAACUUCGAAUUAAUUGAAACUAAGACUACGUCAAAGAUGGUUUCUUCAAAGUCAACCAUUCUCUUUGAUUGUAGUCACCUUAAGCUACCAAUUAGCUAUAAAGGUUUCAUUAUUUCGGGUCAAAUGGUACUUUACCAUUUCCUUGAGUAUAUGUUGUAUAUACACUCAAUGUAGUCAUAAGGAUUUUCAUUCUUAUUUCUUUCGAAUUAAAAGGUGUAACUCUAUGACAUAGUCAUAAAGUUCAAACCAUUCAACUGAGACGGUUUAUAAAUCCUUCUCGACUACCUUGGAGCUUGUGGUAUAGGAACUAGGUUGUUAUAUUUGUUGAUUAUCAUCUUGUCUCUCAAAGAACCCAUUCUUUGAGUUCUAUCUCUUCGUUCAUUUCGCGCUAUCUUAGGCAAAUCACUAUUGUAGGAUUACAAUGAACUACCCAACAAACAACAUUUGUUAGUUGGUUUAUAGAAGUGAUAUCCAAAUGUUAAUUUAAGGAUACCCACAAGAUAAUUUUUAAACAAAUAUUGCUUAUUAGCACACAACCCCAAAUCUUAACAUGAUUAAGAUUUGUCUUUCUUUCCAACUACAUCCUAUGGAGUCAUGAAAAUUUUGGAAGAUCUUCUAAUUGACAAUCAUAUUGUCUUAGAAGUAUAUAUCCUAUAUAUGGGUAAUUGAUAAUAUCCAACGAACUAAAUCUUAUUCAAGUUCGUUCUUCUCCUAAUGGAGAAAUCCAUUAUCUUAUGAUGCUUCUUUCCUUGAUAUCUUUCAAGGAAAACUGUUCUAAAGUGUUACCUUUCCUUGGAUCAAAUCUAAGGAGGUAAAUACUUUAGACAUCUUACUCAUCAACUUACAUUUCUUGAAUUCUUUGAAACCUUUUGCAAAGUAUUCGGACUUGUGUUUAUUCAAAAUAAACUAUAGUCCAACCGAGAGUGAUCUUCGGUGAAUGUCAUACAACAUGAGUAGUAUUAUGUUUGUGGACAAGUGCCACUAACAUCUAAGUGAAUUAACCUCAACAACUUUGUGAUUCUUUCUUCCUUUCCAAAAGAAUAAAGAUUCGAACAUUUCGCCUCUAUACAAUUUUAAUAAGAAGGUAUUGGAUCCGGAUCUAACGAUCCAAAGCAUCCAUCUAUGACCAACUCGUAAUUUAUGUUUUAGAGGUAUCACAACUUCAGUUGGGAUUAGUCACUACCUUGCAACCUUUUGGGUUUUAAGCAUCAUUAUUUUCUAAACAGUUAACACUACCAUAUCAUCUCUACUAUAGAGAGACAAUCAAUUAGAUUACAAUAAUCUAAUCAUUCAUUAAUAAAGAACAAUGUUUUGUCAAACAAAACAUUCAUCCAUCCCUUAUAGUGAUGGAAUUAAGUUCCUUAAAAUUGGAAUGUAAAGACAAUCUUUGGUUUUUCCAAUUUCUUUGGUAGUUCAUAUGAGGAAGUAAGUACCAUCUGUUUUCGCAGAGAUCUACAUUUGAUUCACGUUCCGAAUGUGAACUACUUUCUCUUCUCUCAUUAAUCUUCUACUUCUUAUUAGCCACAUUUUACAACGAUUGUAAAACCUAGUUACUAAUACUGAAUCAUGCAUUCAAGUAGAAGAACCAAUUCUUUUGAACUUUUCAAGAACAAUUUACAACACCUUUGAAAGGUGUGUUCUUGACACUUGCAAGACAUUUCUUGCAAAUACCCCUUCCAAUGUCCAUCCUUUCAUAAAGAAAGUUUGUUCCCUUGGAGUUUAUUUCGCUUUCUUCAUUUGACUUCUCCUUUGACUACAAUAGUCAUGGUCCCUAAACUCCCACUAUCUCUCUUGAAACUUAUUUCAAUUGUGUUAUACACAUCAAACGAUUUUGGAGAGUGUGUGGUUAUUGUUCACUAUAUAUAGUUUACAAUAAACUUAGUGAACCAUUUGGAUAGGGACACAAAGGUGAAGUCCUUGCCUAGUUUCCGUUUCUAGAAGUGGUUUAACACUUCAACACUCAAUGAUUCAAAAUCAUCAUAAGUCCAUGUUGAUGGACUAUUUUUGUCAACCAACCAUUAUGUUCUAAACAUAAUUACAAACUUUCAAGAGUUGUUCAAGGCAACUCUCAUUUCUUCAUACAACAAUUUGUAAGUGAAGAAUCAUGGCACAUAAAGUGUCCAUGCCCUUGUGCUUUCUUCUCAAGUUCUUUGUUCAUUUAACAAAGAAACAAGCACUAGUGUUUGCAUUAGCUAAAGGUUGUUCAAAGCAACUCUCUUAUUUCUUCAUACAACGAUUUGUAAGUGAAGAACUAUGACAUUAAAAGUGUUGUCCUCUUUAUGAUAGACUUAUCUAACAUGUUCUUCCAAUGAUACAUUAUCAAUAGGAAGAUUGUGAGGAUGAGACUACUUAGGUACAUAUACAAUCCAUUUAAGACAAUCUUUGGGAUUGUGGUACCAAGUCCGGAAACUAAAGUAUUCGGCUUUUCUUAGUCAAGAUUUGGAUAGCGUUUGCAAAUAUAUUGGUAAACAAAUACAUAAUGAAUAUAAAUUGAUUGAUUUGAAGCCAUUUGAUUCAGGUCUUUAAAUCAAAUAGCACCACCCACUAUUUUUGGCAAAUUCCAUAUCCCUCAUCGGAAUUCGAGAGUUUUGGAGGAAACUCUUAGCAGGGUAUGGGAGACUCAUAAUUACCAAGCCCACCUCAGAAUUAUAUCAUUUUGGCUAGCAACAAUAAUGAUGAGAGGAUAACUCUUAGCCAUUUACAACUUUUGUAAUUACCCAUCUGCUUUGGCCUCUAGAGAAUGAUUGCUUCAUAAUUAUAUCAUUUUGGCACCAUUGCACUUAGUUAAGUCAUUCCCACCAUGCUAGUUGAUGUAGGGGUUCAAGCACAACCUCAGAAUUAUAUCUUGUUGCUCAUACUCGUUGUCUACACUCACUUCAUCAUAUAUGUUUAUGGACUCUUCCUGGAUGUAAGCACAUACUUUGAACUUCCCCAUUAUAGGGUGAAACCGGUGUAUGAGUCACAAACGAUUGGAGCCCACCACGGUGGAAGGCCAUGAAAGAGUGUUCAAAGCACUCUCACGCUUAUUAACUUAAUAAUGGUUUGGUUGAGGGUUUUUGGUCUCAUCACAUAUAAAUAUACAUUUUAAUCUUAUUAAAACAAUUUGGUCCUAUUACAACUAUUGGUCCAUGUGAUUGACUUAGUAGUAUAUAAUACUCCCACUAAGCUUGUAAAACGGUUUUUAAAGCAAGAGUAUAUCGUACUACUAACAUAAGGUUUGCAUUCAUUGACGGACUAUAUAGUUGCCUUAGAGCCUUAGGAUGACUAUGAACCUUUGAUUAGAUCCAACAUGAGCCUAGUGUUGAAUCUCGGUCUAGGGAUGGUGAUUGAUUUUAGUUACGCGUUUAAUCAUAUUAAGGCGUGUUUUCCUAUUGGGCGUUGGACCCAACUACUCCAAUUUCAUGCAUAUCAAAUAAAACAAGAAAAUGAGUACUUCAAAGUAAAGAAGAGCUUAUGCUCUUUUACAACAUUUGAUCAAAACAAAUUACUUUAAAGUAAAGAAGAGCUUAUGCUCUUUUACAACAUUUGAUCAUAUCAAAUUACAACCAAAAUCUAAUCUACACAUUCCCAUGGUUCAAACAAAUUUGAGACGGCCUUUCACAUAGCUCAAUUAUCGUAGGCUUAGGUUCAUAAUCACCCUUUAAUUAAUUAACGCUUUAACUAAUUAAACUUUGAAUGCAACAUUGUCAUUUGGUUUUUGUAUCCAUAAAAUUGAUUUAAAUGGAGCUAAAUGAAAUGAAAAUCCAAUUCUCAUUUAAAGAGACAAAACCAUUUUGUUCUCAACCUAAUUUGGGCCAAAAUGCAAUAACCUCAACUUUUUGGGCUAUGUUGCAAAACUUAAACUUUUGAGCUCAUUUUGUAAAAACACAAAAGUCCAUUACUUCAUGUAAUUACAAUUAGAACCCAAAAAUUUCAUCAAAUUCAAAAACUUCAUUAAAUGAACAAAACAAUUUGUCCUUUAAUGAUUUUAGGCCUUUACGUAAAUACGUAAACUUUUGGGUCAAACUACAAAUACACAAAAGUAUUAAAACUUUAUGUAAUUGCAUAAAAGCCCCAAAAACACUCCACUUGUAGGGUGGCCGGUUUUGGUGAGAGUGAAGCCUCAAAAUUAUGAAAUUUUUCAACAAAGUCAUAAAGCCUUGCAAGUGGAAAUUGGUUGGUGGGAACAUGUGUGUAAGAAGAAAAUCAAUUAUGUACAUAAUUCAAACACUCUUAUCAACAAUUCAAUCACCUUUUAAUUGAUUAAAUGACUUGUUGAUAGAUAAGUCACACCAACCAAUACAAAACAAAGGCUUUAUGAAAUUAACUAAAACUUUGAAUCAAAACAACAAACCUUUUUGUUCUUGGUAAGAACCUCAAGAACAAUGAAGAACACCCAUGAACACCCAUAAGAGUUCCAUGAACAUUUUCACUCAAUAAAACUCAAAUUUUCACUACUCAAAAUGGGGUUAACAUCCUAGGGUACUUAGGGGUUCCAAAAGUCACCUUAAAACACUUUUAAUAAGACAAACAUGAACCCAAAAAUCACCCUUUGGAUUUGGCCGAAAAUCCCCAAAAACAUGGCACCAAUUUUUAGCUCCAAAAUUCAUGCUCAUAUGAACUACAUCUACAACAUUUGAGAUGGAGAAUUUUCUAACAAAAUUUACGUUCAAAGAAGCAAGAAUAAAGCUUGUAACAAUUACAACAUUCCAAUCAAAGACUAUGAACUACAAAACCCAAAAGAAUUCACCAACUACUAGACCUAGGCUCUGAUACCACUUGAAGGGAAUUUUGUUAAAAGCAUGUUCAUUUGAGCAACAUCUAUAGCAUGCAAUUAACUAAUUAAAGGCGGAAUCAUGCUUGCAUGCACUCAAAACAAAACAUAACCCAUUAAAUUCAAAGCCUAGUAGUUAGGUGAACCAAGACUCAACUCAAAACAAAGUGAGUUGAGAAAUUAUACCUUUGUUGAUUCAUCUUUGCAUAAGCAAAGGAUAAUCACCCAAGAGAUAGGGCCUUCAUUCCUUGCUUCUUAGCUCCAUGGAUUUGGAUGGAAGAAUUGGUUUCUCCAAGUUCUCAAAGUUGAGAACCUCUAAGUCUCCACACCAAGGAAAGAUUGAUAAAGAAAUGAGUGACCUAGAGGAAGUAAGAUUGCUAGCUAUGCUCCUCUAGGGUGGGCGGCCUCUUAGAGAGAAAAGAGAGUUUGCGUUCUCAUCUUUUCUCCAAAAGAAACCCUAAAUGAAUUUUGGCUAUAAAGUCAUAUUUAUACCUACAUUCAUUGGAGUGGCAAACUUGUAAUUAAGUCCAAAACCCACUCCUUUAUCAAUAUGGCCGGCCAUAGGGUUUCAUUGGGCUUUUUAGGCCUUUGUGAAUUAUUUGUCAUUAAGUUGUCAUACAACUUAAGUCAAUGGGCUUGACGUUCCAAGCCCAUUGGGCUUUGAGGCCCAAAACUAACUCGUGGUCUUUUAACAAACUUUAUUCGUUUGAUUAAUUAACAUAUUAAUUAAUCCUUGCCAUAAAUAAAUAAUUAAACCAUUUAAUUAUCCUUACUCAUCUCCGGUGUUUCUUCAAUCUCUACCUUACAUGGUGUACGAUCCAUUAGGUUCCUUUUAGCGAGGCAGUGGGCGAUUAGAACUCUUUCAAAUCGAUUGUGAAUUGAAACUUACUUUCAAUUCUCCCUUUAGUGAUUAUACACGUUUAGGGCUUCCACAAACCAUGAGUGACACCUAGCAGUAUGUCAUGGUUACCCAAGCUAAUCAGAAGAGGUGGAGAACCUAUUCAGUUUAGGAUUACAAUGCAAUACGGUCUUUCUCUAAUACAAUACUCUUGAUCACAUUGUUUGGAUUGAUAGUUUAUUCAUGUGUACUAUCCAAUGUGAUUCAUUUACUUAUAUGAUUACCUUGAAUGUGAUUUGGAAUGACUUCCUAAAUCUCAUUCAUACUCUGGCCAGAGAUUCUUAAUCAUAUCAUAGAGUAUUCUCCCUCAAACGGUUUGAAGGUUAGAGAUCCCUUGUUGCGCAUUCACUUGCCUCCAUGGCUAAGUGGCUUAACCCCAACUAUGCCGUGGACACCCGCGAAGGGAGUGACUUUGACAUAAUCAAAGAUCAAGGACCUAACCACAAGACAACUAUGAUGCCUCAGGUCAAAGGACUACUUUUCAUUAUCCCAACCAUGAGUUCUCAUGUGACAUGAGUAUGAGAACUCUUCGUUGAUCGUCUUCAGUGGACUCAUUCACUAUUGAGCACCUACAUGCCUGUCUUGGUGUCAAUUACACCAAUGACUCGAGACCAGUCACUCUCCAUGAAAGAAGACAGCACGUACUGAUCUUAACAGACUGUCAAUGCCCAAUUGGUAAUCCUAUGAUCAGGAACGUUUAGGAUAUGUAUACGAAAGAGAAUGGUCUCAUAAAUCUAACUUGUUUAAAUUACAUUCUCCUAAUUACAUAUUCUUUGGACUUAUCGUUUAAGCAUAUAACAUUUAUAUGAAACGGCUUAAAACAAUAAUCUUUGCCCUUGAUAUUAAGCUAGAUUAGUUUAACAUGUGAAAUGUCCGCAAAGUAUCAUCACAUGAUUGGUUUUAGGGCACAUUUCCAACAGGUUCAUCAUUCCAUUGCUUCGUACUUGUCAACUCCAGCAUGCUUGCAGUGCGGCGGGUGCUGCAGAGGCGGUUAAGGAAUUCCUUUCCAAGCUGAUCCCAGCUGUUGAUAGACUCCGGCUCGAGGUGGGUGUACCAAUCAAAGACGUUACCUUUUAGCGAGCACACGAACUUCUUGACAAGGUAGCCUCCCUGCAUUCUAGCAUUGUUGCAGGUUUCAAUGAAAUGGGCAAUGUGUUGUUUAGGAUUGCUCUUUCCAUCAAAUUGCAUGAAUAUGGGCAGCUGAUAACUCCUUAGCAAGGUUUUGAGUACAACACAGACUCAUGCGGGCUUCCUUGGUAUUAUGCCUUGAUCGUGCUUUUGAUCAUCUCUUGCAGCUGUUGGAUAGAAAGAGAUCUCAUAGCAUCGCAGAUCGAUCCACCUCCAGCUUCUCUUCGGCUUGCUCUCCUAGAGGCUCCUCUUCUUCAUCGGUUUCCUUCUUUUGUAGGUCAACCUUUAGGUCGUGGUCAGCUUUUUCAUCAUGUUGCGCCUCUAGUAGGUUGAUGAAUGUGGCAAUUUGCAAGUCAUUUUCCUCAACAGUCCUUGUUAGGCUUGCAAUUGCUUCAUUCAUUUGAGCCAGCUACUCUUCGAUGGAAGUUGCACCAGUAGUCAUGACUUGUAUGGCUACGAGAUACGAGCUGCUGCUUGAGUCGGCAUUAGAAGUCAAUGACUUGGAGUACCUCCUUGGGCUUUCAUCCCUUGGCACCCUUAGAAAGGCCAAGGUGAUCACGAGCUCUGCCUAGAGUGCUCUUGCUCAUUCGGUAAAGUUGAUGUAGGGGUGGAAGGCACGGCAGAAAGAGCGCUUACCUUGCUUCAGGUUGUGACGCCCAAAGUGCCACCACAUAUGGCAAGGAAAUUCUUGUUCUACGUGUUGGUUGUGGGAACAACUUGAUCUUUUCUUGAUGCCAUGUAUGUUUCUUGUGGAUUUGAAGACAGAGAUGAGAGGCAGAGAGGUCCGACUACGCAUGCCAAAUUUGUAAACACGAAAAUUUUGAAUCAAAUGAAACGAGAACACGUGUACAAAAUAGAUUUGUAUUGAUUGAAUUUGUAGGGUUACAAUCUCUGUUUACAAUUUUCCUCUUAUUCAGUCUUCAAAUUUGAUGAAGAUGGCGUAGGUUGUUGAUCCAAGGGUAGCGAUGACUUGAUUUCGGACGAACGAUUGAGCGAUUACUUCAAGUUUUGAUCUUGAAACGUUGCGUCGAUAGUCUUCACCUCAAAGUUGCGGCAAAGGUAGUGUUGGUGUAGAAUUUCGUUGACUCAAGGUCUUGGCGAAUUGAUCUUGAAACAAAUGUCUUUACAAGUUUUGAGCUUGCAACAAAGUCUUGAAUGAGUCAGCACGAGUGCUUGCUGAUUCUUCAAAGGGAAUGUUGAUAGGAGCAUAUUUAUGCGACUUUGUUAGCUUGUUUCUUUGCAUUUAGUGAGUUAGUUUCUAUUUAUAAGAGUGUUUUAAGCUAUUUUCGUACGUUUGUAGUUCCAAUUGGCAAAUGUGACAAGAAAUGGCAAUUUGGAGCAUUUUGGAGCAGUUUUGGACUUGGAAUGGAUAGCAUAUGCAUAGAACAAGUUGGAUGGAUGUUUUUGAAGUUUAAAAGAGGAUAGGAAUGUGCUACAAAUCUGGAGAAAUUAAAUCAAGGCUUGGAAAACAAGGAAUCAGCUGAAAACAAGGAAACCUUAUCCAAACUUACCUUAUCUUAUCCAGUCCUGUUUUAUCUCAAUCUUAUCUUAUCUUAUCAUAUCCUUAUCCUAUCUCACCUUAUCUCCAGCUAUAAGGGGGGUUCCUUAUCACAUUCAACCACUUUUAAUCUGAUUUAAGUAGUCCUAAAACAUUGCAAACAACUCAAUCCUUUUCCACCACAAAGUAGGUCGUGCCUUAGCCCUAUAAAUACAAGUUAUUGCCACAGCUUUCAAGGAGAGCUUUUAGAAAGAAAAUUGGUGAGAGUGCUGCAGGUUUCUAGAUGAGAGAAGGAGAUUUGGGCCGUGCUUACAAGGAGAAGAAGAGCCAAUUCUGCCAUCUAAAGGAGGAGCCAAAUCUGCCAUUGCUGGAGUGUCUUAGAGUUCUUUCUAUCCUUAUUUGAUCUCAAUGUUUAAUUUAGAUUGUUUUUAUUUAAUUAUGAUGAACAUGUGGAACUAAUUUCGUUUUAGCUAAAGGUCAAUUUGAAGCCAUGCAGGGAUUUGAUGCUAGAAUAUAAAGGAAUUUCACCUAAUCGUUAUAAACUUAUAUUUACAAGUAGUAAAAGUCACUAGUCAUGAUUGAGUUAAGUAAAUUCAUGGCAGGAGUAUCGUAUAGUUCAUAGUUACGAAUGUCAUGUCAAUGCUUAUGAUUUUCACAGAACUUAAUGAUCUUUGAUAUCUAUCUCUAUCAUGCUGUUCAUAGUUAGGGAACCUGAAAAGAAUAAUUUGGUUGCGUCGCUGAGUCCAAUUCAACGAAUUUAGGAAAAUCUGAAAGUUAAUUUGCGCUUUUCAUGAUUAAUUUGGGGCAUUGUCAUUCAUGGUUUAUAGGAAUAAUAAUUGAAAAUCGAUUUGUAUACGUCAUGUGUGGAGAAUGACCCUCUAGCUAGCCUUUCACCCAAUUUUCGUACCAAACUUAAAUUUUUUUUUCAAUUUACUUGUUUUAAGUUAGAAUUCGUCCAAAUACCUCCCCCCUUAUGUUUAGUGUUGGUUUAGCUUAGUUUUCUAUUUUUAAGUCUAAUUAGUGUUGAUUAGCAUCCCUCCUAAUCCCCGAUCUAGAACGAUCCCUACUUGCUCAUACUACAACUGUCUUGAUAGGGUUUAAUUUGUGUGUUAGUUUCUACCACAUCAAAUUUUGGCAUCGUUGCCGGGGAUUAGUAAAAUUGAUGAUCCCUUUGUUUUUUGUUUAUUUUUCUUUUGAUAUUUGAUUUAGGUUUAUUUUUUUGAUUUCAGGUACUAGAGUAGCAAGACAUGGCAAUUGCUAAUCUUCAAGCUCAAAUGGCAAAUCUUACUUCUCUUAUGUCGCAAUAUAUCAAAAGGUCCACAAUUCAAAGUGUCCCUACAUUUGGUGUGUCUUUUAUGAAGGGAAUUUUGUGAAAAACAUGUUCAUUUGAGCAACAUCUAUAGCAUGCAAUUAACAAAUUAAAGGCGGAAUCAUGCUUGCAUGCACUCAAAACAAAACAUUACCCAUUAAAUUCAAAGCCUAGUAGUUAGGUGAACCAAGACUCAACUCAAAACAAAGUGAGUUGAGAAAUUAUACCUUUGUUGAUUCCUUUUUGCAUAAGCAAAGCAUAAUCACCCAAGAGAUAGGGCCUUCAUUCCUUGCUUCUUAGCUCCAUGGAUUUGGAUGGAAGAAUUGGUUUCUGCAAGUUCUCAAAAUUGAGAACCUCUAAGUCUCCACACCAAGGAAAGAUUGAUGAAGAAAUGAGUGACCUAGAGGAAGUAAGAUUGCUAGCUAUGUUCCUCUAGGGUGACUGGCCUCUUAGAGAGAAAAGAGAGUCUGUGUUCUCAUCAUUUCUCCAAAAGAAACCCUAAUGAAGAAAAGGUUAUAAAGUCAUAUUUAUACGUACCUUCAUUGGAGUGGCAAACUUGUAAUAAGUCCAAAACCCACUCCUUUAUCAAUAUGGCCGGCCAUAGGGUGUUAUUGGGCUAUUUGGGUCAUUGUGAACAUUUAGUCAUUAAGUUGUCAUACAACUUAAGUCAAUGGGCUUGACGUUCGAAGCCCAUUGGACCAUGAGGCCCAAAACUAACCCGAGGUCUUUAACGAACUUUAUUCAUUUGAUUAAUUAACAUAUUAAUUCAUUCUUGCCAUAAAUAAUUAAACCAUUCAAUUAUCCUUACUCAUCUCCGUUGUUUCUUCAAUCUCUGCCUUACACAGUGUACGAUCCAUUAGGUUCCUUUUAGCGAGGCAGUGGGCGAUUAGAACUCUUUCAAAUCGAUUGUAAAUUGAAACUUACUUUCAAUUCUCCCUUUAGUGAUUUAUACACAUUUAGGGCUUCCACAAACCAUGAGUGACACCUAGCAGUAUGUCAUGGUUACCCAAGCUAAUCAGAAGAGGUGGAGAACCUAUUCAGUUUAGGAUUACAAUGCAAUACGAUCUUUCUCUAAUACAAUAUUCUUGAUCACAAUGUUUGGAUUGAUAGUUUAUUCAUGUCUACUAUCCAAUGUGAUUCAUUUACUUAUAUGAUUACCUUGAAUGUGAUUUGGAAUGACUUCCUAAAUCUCAUUCAUACUCUGGCCAGAGAUUCUUAAUCAUAUCAUAGAGUAUUCUCCCCUAAACGGUUUGAAGGUUAGAGAUCCCUUGUUACGCAUUCACUUGCCUCUGAUAGAGUGAGUUUGACACAGUCAAACAUGAAGGACUUAACCACAAGACAACUAUGAUGCCUCAAGUCAAAGGACUACUUUGCAUUUUCCCAACCAUGAGUUCUCAUGUGACAUGAGUAUGAGAACUCCUCGUUGAUCGUGUUCAAUGGACUCAUUCGCUAUUGAGCACCUACAUGCUUGUCUUGGUGUCAAUCACACCAAUGACUCGAGAUCAGUCACUCUUUAUGAGAGAAGACACAUCACGUACUGAUCUUAACGGACUGUCAAUGCCCAAUUGGCAAUCCUAUGAUCAGGAACGUUUAGGAUAUCUAUACGAAAGAGAAUGGUCUCAUAAAUCUAACUUGUUUAAAUUACAUUCUCCUAAUUACAUAUUCCUUGGACUUAUCGUUUAAGCAUAUAACAUUUAUAUGAGAUGGCUUAAAACAAUAAUCUUUGCCCUUGAUAUUAAACUAGAUUAGUUUAACAUGUGAAAUGUCCGUAAAGUAUCAUCAUAUGAUUGGUUUUAGGGCACAUUUCCAACAAUCUCCCACUUGCAUUAGAGCCAAUCAGCUUGGUCAUCAUUGAUGAUACCUCUUCUUUAGUCAUUUCAAAAAUGGCUAAAUAGUAGGCCUAGACAAUGGAUAUCUAUAUGUUAUCCAUAGAAGCAACCUUGAGAAUAACGAUGUCACCAUUAUACAUGAUUCUCAAUCAUGUGGUUCAGUCUCUCAUUUGAGUUCGGAUCGUGAUGAGACCUUGAUUCCCUGGCUUGAGCUAUCGCCCCAUUAGUGUUGUAGUGUCGGUACACUAGAGACACUUUCUGGUUAGAACCGAAUAGAGAGUUCAUGAAUGAACUUUCUCAUCGAAACAACAUUGUUGUAAGCUUCUAUAUGGCAAUAUAUUUUGCAUUCACAAUGGAACACACUAAAGUCAUUGCUUUUAAUGUUUCCAUCCAAAUAUCUCUUUUAGUCAUAAUAAAGAGAUAUCUGAUUAUCUCUUCAUUCAUAAUGAAGAAACAUCCAAUGAUGGAUUAGAUUCAUAAUCUAAUACAUUUACGCUUCCAUUACGUUAUUCUAAUUCUUCCUCAUUCUUUGAGGAAUUUAUCCUUUAGUAUUUCUUAAAUACUUAAUGACUCACUUGACAUUUGCCAUGGUUCUGAUCCUGGGCUUGCACUGAUAUCGUCUUGUACCGUUCUAGGUACAACUCAUAUGAAUGUUUACAUACAAUAUGAAAUACGUAAAUCACUUUUCUGCGUAUGCAUAAAGGAUUCUAUUUACGCAUUAUUUCUUUGGGAGUCAAAGGGUAUGUUCCCUUUGAGAAGACCUACCUCCUAGUCUUACUAGAGUUGUUCUUCUGACUGAAGUUUAUCAUCAUAUGAGAAACUUCCUAGCAUCUUUUGUCUAUCAUUAGGGCUUGAUAUAAUCAAAUUAUAUCCUGAAAUCUAUCAUUAUAGAUUUACAUCCCAUGUUUAUACACUAUGUCUCCCAUAUACAUUCUAUCGUUAUAGAAUGUUUAAAGUCAUAACUUUAACGAAGAAGUAUUCUUUUUCAUUUCCAAAAUUAAUAUAUCAUAUAUUUGUAUAUAUAUAUAUAUAUAUAUAUAUAUAUUCAAUUUUAGGAACAUGAUUACCUCCCACCAAUCUUUUGUAAACCUAGUAAACAAAAGAUUCAUUUACAUCUUUAUGAGAAAUCAAACGAUUUGAUCUUUCUCUCAUACGACGUUUAUAGCUCCCACUAGCUUGCUAAGAUCCAUGAUGGAUGGAUCUCUACAACUUACAUGUCUUGUGAUUCAUAGUUUUAGACAUACAUUAUCAAGACUAUCUUAAUAAUGGUUUCGGAAACCCAUAUUAUGUGUUGGAAAUGUGCCCUAAAACGAAUCAUAUGAUGAUACUUUACGAACAUUUCACAUGUUAAACUAAUCUAGUUUAAUAUCAAGGGCAAAGAUUAUUGUUUGAGCCGUCUCAUAUAAAUAUUAUACGCUUAAAUGAUAAGUCCAAGGAAUAUGUGAUUGGGAGAAUGCGAUCUAAAGAAGUUAGAUUCAUGAGACCAUUCUUUCGUAAACACAUCCUAAACGUUCCUGAUCAUAGGAUUGCCAAUUGGGCAUUGACAGUCCGUUAAGAUCAGUACGUGCUGUGUCUUUUCUCAGGGAGAGUGACUAGUCUCAAGUCAUUGGUGUGUGUGACAUCAAGACAAGCAUGUAGGUGCUUAAUAAUGAAUGAGUCCACUGAACACGAUCAACGAGGAGUUCUCAUACUCAUGUCACAUGAGAACUUAUGGUUGGGAUAAUUCAAAGUAGUCCUUUGACCUGAGGCAUCAUAGUUGUCUUGUGGUUAGGUACUUGAUCUUUGAUUAUGUCAAAGUCACCCCAUCCGCGGGUGUCCACGGCAUCGUCGGGGUUAAGCCACUUAGCCAUGGAGGCAAGUGAAGGCGCAACAAGGGAUCUCUAACCUUCAAACCGUUUGGGGGAGAAUACUCUAUGAUAUGACUAAGAAUCUCUGGCCAGAGUAUGAAUGAGAUUUAGGAAGUCGUUCCAAAUCACAUUCAAGGUAAUCAUAUAAGCACACGAAUCACAUUGGAUAGUAGACAUGAAUAAACUAUCAAACCAAACAAUGUGGUCAAGAGUAUUGUAUUAGAGAAAGACCGUAUUGCAUUUGUAAUCCUAAACUGAAUAGGUUCUCCACCUCUUCAGAUUAGCUUGGGUAACCAUGAUAUGCUGCUAGGUGUCACUCAUGGUUUGUGGAAGCCCUAAACAUGUAUAAUCACUAAAGGGAGAAUUGAAAGUAAGUUUCAAUUCACAAUCGAUUUGAAAUGGUUUUAAUCGCCCACUACCUCGCUAAAAGGAACCUAAUGGAUCGUACACCGUGUAAGGUGGAGAUUGAAGAAACAAUGGAGAUGAGUAAGAAUAAUUAAAUGGUUUAAUUAUUUAUGGCAAGGAUUAAUUAAUAUGUUAAUUAAUCAAACGAAUAAGUUCGUUAAAGACCUCGGGAUAGUUUUGGACCUUAAGGCCCAAUGGGCUUCGAACGUCAAGCCCAUUGACUUAAGUUGUAUGACAAUUUAAUGAAUAAUGAUUCACAAAGGCCCAAUUAGCCCAAAAAUACCCUAAGGCCGGCCAUUUAGAGAUGGAGUGAGUUUUGGACUUAUUUACAAGUUUGCCACUCCAAUGAAUUAAGGUAUAAAUAUGACUUUAUAGCCAAAAUUCAUUUAGGGUUUUCUUUUGGGGAAAGGAUGAGAACAUAAGCUCUCAUUUCUCUCUAAAGUGGCCGGCCUCCUUGGAGGGUGUAGCUAGCACUCCUACUACUCCAAGGUCACUCAUUUCUUCUCCAAUCUAACCUUGGUGAAGAGACUUAGAGGUUCUCAAUUUUGGGAACUUGGAGAACCUUUUCAUCCAUCCAAAUCCAUAGAUCUAAGAUGCAAGGAAUGAAGGCCCUCUCUUUGGGUGAUUAGCCUUUGCUGAUGCAAAGAGGAAUCAACAAAGGUAUAAUUUCUCAACUAACAAAUGUUGUUUUAAGUUAAGUCAAGGUUCACCAAUCUACUAGGCUUUGAAUUUCAUGGUUAAUGUUUUGUUUUUAAGUGCAUACAAGCAUGAUUCCGCCUUUUAAUUGUUAAUUGCAUGCUAUAGAUGUUGCUUAAAUGAACAUGUUUUUCACAAAAUCAUCCUUCAUUAUGUCCAAACAUUGAAUCACCAUUUAGUUGUAGCUAGCAAUCUUCGAAUUAAUUGAAACCAAGACUACGUCAAAGAUGGUUUCUUCCAAGUCAACCAAUCUCUUUAAUUGUAGUCACCUUAAGCUACCAAUUAGCUAUAAAGGUUUCAUUAUUUUAGGUCAAAUGGUACUUUACCAUUUCCUUGAGUAUAUGUCGUAUAUACACUUAAUGUAGUCAUAAGGAUUUUCAUUCUUAUUUCUUUCGAUUUAAGAGGUGUAACUCUAUGACAUAGUCAUAAAGUUCAAACCAUUCAACCGAGACAGUAUAUAAAUCCUUCUCGACUACCUUGGAGCUUGUGUGGUAGGAAAUAGGUUGUUAUAUUUGUUGAUUAUCAUCUUGUCUCUCAAAGAACCCAUUCUUUGAGUUCUAUCUCUCGUUCAUUUGCGUUAGGCAAAUCAUAUUGUAGCAUUACAAUGAACUACCCAACAAACAACAUUUGUUAGUUGGUUU